CCUUUCAAAGGGCCAGGGCCCAGAACCUGGUGUGUUCUUUGUCUCUCAUCAUGGUGGAUGCAUCGUUAGGAACAAUACAAUGCUUAGAAGAAAUAAUCUCAGAGUUUGUGCAGAAAGAUGAAAUAAAACCUGCUGUGAUCCAACUGCUUUGGGAGCGGUUCACAGAAAAAACCCAGUGCUCACCACUGGAACGCCGUGCAGCUGUGAUGCUGCUGGGAAUGAUGGCACGAGGGAAGCCAGAGAUCAUAGGAAGCAACCUGGAUGUUUUGGUAACAGUAGGGCUGGCUGAGAGAGUGUGUGAAGACUAUCGCUUGGCAGAAGAAGUAUGCAAUGCAAUUUCCAAACUUGCCAGUAAUUCUAAGGUAAAGCUUUCACUUUGUAGUCACA